CAGACAUGGCCUAGUACAGAUAUGUUCUACAACUGGAAAAAAAUGGUUAUGAUUGAGGCUUAGAAGUGGAGUGCAGUGAAGAAACUUUAGGGAAGCCUGACAACCACACCCUCUGCUGAUCCCUGUGGAAUUUUACAUGGAUAAUGAGUAAAAGACUGUCCUGCCAAUAGAGAAUACAGUGAAACGGUAUGGAACAUACACAGUGGAACAGAGGACACUGAUGGAACAGUGUUUAUAAGCACAAAGUUUGGAAGUACGGAAUCCUAGAUAAAAUCCUGACUGUGGAAUUAACUGCGUGACCUUCGGCAAAUUACUUCAUCUCUUUGAGCCUCAGUGUCUUCACAUAUAAAAUGAG
rnacentral:lncRNA from 10 species